rnacentral:tRNA from 2 species
GCAGUCGUAGCCGAUGGGUUUAAGGCGAUGGACUAGAAAUCCAUUGGGAUCUCCCCGCACAGGUUCGAAUCCUGUCGACUGCG